UAUGAGUGGCGAACGGGUGAGUAACACGUGAGUAACCUGCCCUCUUCUUUGGGAUAACGCCCGGAAACGGGUGCUAAUACUGGAUAUUCACUGGCCUUCGCAUGGGGGUUGGUGGAAAGGUUUGUUCUGGUGGGGGAUGGGCUCGCGGCCUAUCAGCUUGUUGGUGGGGUGAUGGCCUACCAAGGCUUUGACGGGUAGCCGGCCUGAGAGGGUGACCGGUCACAUUGGGACUGAGAUACGGCCCAG
rnacentral:rRNA from 1 species